UAAGACAAGGGAGACGAGUGUUAUUCAUCUUUAACAGGUAUAUAGGGUACCUAGACGGUGUGCAAUGGCUUAAAUAAGUACCUGGUACACUUGAGUUUGAUAUGUGAGAGGAAUAUGUCGGAAUUGUUGGAGGAAAGAUGAAAUUUGUUAAUACCAAUAGGACUGAUAACGGCGAAGGCAAACCUCUAUGUACAUGUACUUGCUAUUUCUAUUUGUUUAUUUUUUUUUCAAUAGAAAAAAAAAGAAACUAAAAAAAAGAAACUAAAAAAAAGAAACUAAAAAAAAGAAAUUUUUUUUUGUGAAGGAAUAUAUGAAAUAUUAAGCAAAAGAGCAAUGUACUAUAACUGACGUUGAGGGACGAAGGCUCAGAGAGUGAAGAGGAUUAGAUACCCCCGUAACCUGGGCAGACAAUGAUGAGUGCCAUAGGUUGGCUUUAAGGCGGAACUAUAAAUGAAAGUGGAAGCACUCCACCUCAAGAGUAAUGUGGCAACGCAGGAACUGAAAUCAUUAGACCGUUUCUGAAACCAGUAGUGAAGUAACU
rnacentral:rRNA from 1 species